UACGUAGGGCGCGAGCGUUGUCCGGAAUUAUUGGGCGUAAAGAGCUCGUAGGCGGUUUGUCGCGUCUGCUGUGAAAUCCCGGGGCUUAACCCCGGGCGUGCAGUGGAUACGGGCAGGCUGGAGGCAGGCAGGGGAGAACGGAAUUCCCGGUGUAGCGGUGAAAUGCGCAGAUAUCGGGAGGAACACCGGUGGCGAAGGCGGUUCUCUGGGCCUGUUCUGACGCUGAGGAGCGAAAGCGUGGGGAGCGAACAGGAUUAGAUACCCCCGUAGUCC
rnacentral:rRNA from 1 species